AUUGUCACUGUUUAUGAAAACACAUCACUAUAUUAGUAAUGUAACAAUUUUAUAUGAAAAAGGUUUCAAUGUCGCACAGUACCAUCUUGUUGAGACAUACAAAUUCUUAAAAAGUUUUUAUUUUAAAAUCCUCUAAUCUUAGAUAAUAUAGAUAGAGUGUCUUCAUACAAAUGCUUUGAGAAAAGCGAGUCAACUUUUUCAUACAAUUUUGCGUAAUAAAUAGUUAUGAGUGAUUCCUUUAUAACUUCUAUAUUUAUUUUGUUUUAUAAUUUUGACAUAUUAUUAAUGCGUUAAAACUAAUUUUAUUUACUAAAUAAUUAAUUAUAGCAAGGUACAUAACAUGCGUAAGUAUAUAGAACAAUAAUAAAAAAACGAGUCAGCUAAUUUGACUAUUAGCUGACAAAAAGUUGAUCUGUUUUUGAGGCUCAAUGUUCUAUCAAUAUCAUUUAAGCCUCUAAUAAUGUCUGUUCUUUUAAAGUCACUGCAAAUUUCUAUUAAAGCCACUGUAAAUUUAAAAUACCUAGUUUUGUGAUUUCUAAAGGGUUCCUAUGAAUAGAAAAUUAAUCAUAUUUAAAAAUUAUUUCAUUAAUUUUUAAAUAGAAAAAUUGGAAACGAAACCCACUGAGUUAAAUUGAAAGAUUGAACUUAAGCUUUAAUUAUUAUGCUAUAAUAUAAAAAGAGGCGGACAUGACGAAAUUAUAAAGAUUUUGUAUUUGCUAUUUCAUUAAAAUCCUAAAAAUAUAUACAAAGAUAUCACACAUACAGAGCAUAGCAAAAAAAAUUACCAGUGAGAUAAACAUUAUUUCAUAAACCUAUUUUAUGUUUAAAAAUGUGAUAAGAUUAAAGUUCUACGAAAUUGUAUAUUUUCGUAACAAAGCUCGUAUAAAGAAACUAUAGCAAUAAAAGUUAUCCAGUAAUGUAAUUUAACAACUGAAUAAUAAAAAGCAAAAUUGGACCUACUUGCAGUCAGUGUACCACUGAACUAAUACAAAGUGUGGUCAAUGAGACGUCAAUAAAAAUAAUAAGAGAUAUAUAUUUGAAUAAGCAAAAUGUGUGUAUGUAACAAAGUUGAUUCAUUGUACAUAUGUCUUGAAGAACAAUAGUAAGAUGAGACCAAACAUUAGAGUCAAUGUCAUCUGGAUUAUACUGGAUAUAAGAGACGUAUGAAGUGAGGACACAUGACAUACUGAAUUCAAAGUGGCCUGUUAUGUAAUCCUAUAAAAUCAAUAUCUGUGAUUCACAUUGCACCAUUAAUUUACCCACUGCUAAACAAUAGACUUUCAUUGUGGAAUAACUUUAUAAAAUAUACUUUAAAUAUACACUAUAGUUUAUACUUACACAUUGGUAUGGAGUGCAAAGUCCC